UAACCAGGGGUCGGUCGCCUGGAGUCUG
rnacentral:sRNA from 1 species